CCUGCUCCCGCUGCACCAUCAAUUUUCAAAGACUAUAGAUCUCCAAGUCAACUUAGAUGGUGGACAUUUGGUUGCACGUAGAACACUCGCACCCGAUCACGCCUAAACCUAAGUAACCCUAACCGAGUACGAUCUCAUUCAGUCUCCACUCUCACACUCGGCCUCCCAUCUCAUUCUCUCUCUCUCUCUCUCGACUCCACACCGAGCCCGACUGCACACCGCCGCAACGACCGCCACAAUCUUGCUGCAGAACGCUGCUGGACGCCCGCCGAUCUUCAUGCUGAGCCCGAUCUUGCUGCAGAACGCUGCUGGUUGCCCAUCGAUCUUCACGCAGAGCCCAAUCUUGCUGCAGAACGCUGUUGGCUGCCCGUCGAUCUUCACGUCGAACCCAAACCGGGCCGAACCGAAAAUUCAAGUCACCAGAUAUUUCGGCCUAGCCCAUGUAGAAAUAGUUGUCGGUCCAAAUUUAGGCCCAACCGAGAACUCCGGGUCGAAGUCGGGUUCGGCCCAAAACCGAGCCGGGCUGAUCCG
rnacentral:lncRNA from 1 species